rfam:Loxodonta africana unplaced genomic scaffold scaffold_6, whole genome shotgun sequence.
GCAGUGGUGGUUCAGUGGUAGAAAUCUUGCCUUCCAUGUAGGAGACCCGUGUUUGAUUCCUGGCCAAUACA